UUUUUUUUUUUUUUUUUGCAUUUUGUCCAUCUGCUUUCUCCUUUGCUCCAUCUAUAUUUUUGUCAUAUCUACAUGGUAUUGUUAAUAAUGGGUUUAUUGAACCAUUUGAAAUUAAGUUCCCCACAUCAUGGCCCUCUGCUUUCUAGGGGCACCUUUAUUUUUGAUUAAUUGAUUGACUGAUUUUUUUUUUUGAGACAGGAUCUUGCUCUGUUGCCCAGGCUGGAGUGCAGUGGCGCAAUCAUAACUCACUGCAGACUUGACCUCCUGGGCUCAAGCAAUCCUUCUGCCUCAGCCUUCCGAGUAGCUGGCACCACAGGUAUGCACCACCGUGCCUGGCUGAUGUUUUUUAUUUUUUGUAGAAAUGGGGUCUCACUAUGUUGCCCAGGCUGAUCUCAAACAAUCCUCCUGCCUCAACCUCCCAAAGUGUUGAGAUUACAGGUGUGAGCCCACCAUGACCAGCCUCGUUGUCACUUUAGAAUGUGGUGACCAGAAGGCUCAGCAGAAGACUCUCAGCCCAAGGAGUCUUAGCUGGGAGUUUCCACGAGGUUCCAGAGGUCUAUGAACCUCUAGGGGUAGGUGCACUUUAAAAUGUUAAGUGUUCAACAAUUUCAUCAGAUUCUCAAAGGAAUCCUUGACUCCUCUCCCUGCCCCUGCAAAAGGACAGGAAGCUCUAAAGUAAACCAGUUGCCUUAUUUUAGGAUGGAAAGCCCAAGGAGACCCUAAAUACAUCAGCGUAUAGAUCCUUAGAAUAAGGAGAUUCUCACAGAACCACAGUGCAUUUCUCAACUUCAGCACAAUUAACUUCCAUGCGCUACUUUAAUCUACUGUCAGUUCCAAUUUUGUCAGCUGACCUAAUAAUAUCCUUUAUAGCGUUUUUUCCUCCAGUACAGGGUCCAGCCUAGGAUGGAAUAUACCAGAUAUUAUAUGCGUGGAUCCUAUCUUUUUCGUCUCCUGUAAUCUGGACCAUUUCCCCAGCUUUUGACUUAGAUGGCAUUGAAAUUGUGAGUCAAAUAUAGCACGUAAACAAGGCGCUCAUUUUGUGUUCGUCCACUGUCUCCUGGUGCUUUGAGGCCAUGCAUUCCUGGCCAGGACAUUACA
rnacentral:lncRNA from 1 species